UAACACAUGCAAGUCGAACGAAGUCUUCGGACUUAGUGGCAGACGGGUGAGUAACGCGUGGGAACCUACCCUUUGGUACGGAACAACAGUUGGAAACGACUGCUAAUACCGUAUGAGCCCUACGGGGGAAAGAUUUAUCGCCAAAGGAUGGGCCCGCGUUGGAUUAGCUAGUUGGUGGGGUAAAAGCCUACCAAGGCGACGAUCCAUAGCUGGUCUGAGAGGAUGAUCAGCCACACUGGGACUGAGACACGGCCCAGACUCCUACGGGAGGCAGCAGUGGGGAAUAUUGGACAAUGGGGGCAACCCUGAUCCAGCCAUGCCGCGUGAGUGAUGAAGGCCCUAGGGUUGUAAAGCUCUUUCAGC
rnacentral:rRNA from 1 species